GACGAACGCUGGCGGCGUGCUUAACACAUGCAAGUCGAGCGAGGCCCCUCCUUCGGGAGGGUGUCCUAGCGGCGAACGGGUGAGUAACACGUGGGCAACCUGCCCUCAGCUCUGGGAUAACUCCGGGAAACCGGGGCUAAUACCGGAUACGACCUCCACGGGCAUCUGCGGAGGUGGAAAGUUUUUCGGCUGAGGAUGGGCCCGCGGCCUAUCAGCUAGUUGGUGGGGUAGUGGCCCACCAAGGCGACGACGGGUAGCCGGCCUGAGAGGGCGACCGGCCACACUGGGACUGAGACACGGCCCAGACUCCUACGGGAGGCAGCAGUGGGGAAUAUUGCGCGAUGGGCGAAAGCCUGACGCAGCGACGCCGCGUGAGGGACGAAGGCCUUCGGGUUGUAAACCUCUUUCAGCAGGGACGAAGCGAAAGUGACGGUACCUGCAGAAGAAGCACCGGCCAACUACGUG
rnacentral:rRNA from 1 species